rnacentral:tRNA from 1 species
UGGGGUGUAGCUUAGUGGUAGAAGUGCUUGCCUAGUAUGCAUGGGACCCUGGGUCCAAUCUCCAGUACCACAC